UGGGGAAUUUUGGACGAAUUGGGCGAAAGCCUGAAUCCAGCAAUGCCGCGUGUGUGAAGAAGGCCUUCGGGUUGUAAAGCACUUUUGUCCGGAAAGAAAUCCUUGGCUCUAAUACAGUCGGGGGAUGACGGUACCGGAAGAAUAAGCACCGGCUAACUACGUGCCAGCAGCCGCGGUAAUACGUAGGGUGCAAGCGUUAAUCGGAAUUACUGGGCGUAAAGCGUGCGCAGGCGGUUUGCUAAGACCGAUGUGAAAUCCCCGGGCUCAACCUGGGAACUGCAUUGGUGACUGGCAGGCUAGAGUAUGGCAGAGGGGGGUAGAAUUCCACGUGUAGCAGUGAAAUGCGUAGAGAUGUGGAGGAAUACCGAUGGCGAAGGCAGCCCCCUGGG
rnacentral:rRNA from 1 species